rnacentral:rRNA from 1 species
UAGCGUAUAUUAAAGUUGUUGCGGUAAAAAAGCUCGUAGUUGGAUUUCUGCUUGAGAUGACCGGUCCACACAAUGUGUGCGCAUCUGGUUCAGCUUAGGCAUCCUCUCGACAGACGUUUCUGCGCUUGAUUGCGUGGAGCGGAUUUCGGGACUUUUACUUUGAGGAAAUUAGAGUGUUCACGGCAGGCUAUCGCCAGAAUACAUUAGCAUGGAAUAAUACUAUAGGAUCUUGGUUCUAUUUUGUUGGUUUCUAGGAUUAAGAUAAUGAUUAAUAGGGACAAUUGGGGGCAUUCGUAUCAACACGUC